ACGAACGCUGGCGGUGUGCUUCACACAUGCCAGUCGCACGGUAAGGCCCUUUCGGGGGUACACGAGUGGCGAACGGGUGAGUAACACGUGAGUAACCUGCCCUCAUCUCUGGGAUAACAGUCGGAAACGGUUGCUAAUACUGGAUAUGAGCUUGCAAGGCAUCUUGUGGGUUGGAAAGAUUUUUUUUGGUUGGGGAUGGACUCGCGGCCUAUCAGCUUGUUGGUGAGGUAGUGGCUCACCAAGGCUUCGACGGGUAGCCGGCCUGAGAGGGCGACCGGCCACAUUGGGACUGAGAUACGGCCCAAACUCCUACGGGAGGCAGCAGUGGGGAAUAUUGCACAAUGGACGGAAGUCUGAUGCAGCAACGCCGCGUGCGGGAUGACGGCCUUCGGGUUGUAAACCGCUUUCAAUUGUGACGAAGCUUUUUUGUGACGGUAGCAGUAGAAGAAGCACCGGCUAACUACGUG
rnacentral:rRNA from 1 species